UGGUCCAGUGGGUAGAACUUAGCACUUUCACUGCUGUGAGCCCAGGUUCUACUCCUGG
rnacentral:tRNA from 1 species